UGAGUUAUGGAAGAGCAAAUAUGCUUAGCAGAAUUAGGUGGAUGAAGUUUGGAUAUCAUUCGAAAGGAAAUGUUAUGGUGGCCCCUUUCUUGCUCUUUCUCUUAGGUCUUUGAGGAACUAAGACUUCACAUGACAUGCGCGCAUGGCAUGUGUAACUAUUUAUUGUCAGUUUCCCAGUUUGGAUGCUGUUUGCAGGGUGACUUCAGGUCUGAUGAACUUGAGAAGAGACAUAAGAAAGUCCUUAUUUGUCGUCCCCUUCUGGCUUCUGGUUUGGGUUUGAUUAUGAUGUCGGUCAUAUUUAUUCCCGCAUAUGGUUUUCUAGAGUGCCUUUUAUGGAAGAUUCCAUGAUUUGUCUAAGAAUUUAACUUUUUUGGAGAUGAUAUAAAGUCCAAUGUGGAGGCUUUUUAUAGCUCAUGGGACACAAGGAGCACAAGAUGAAUUGCGCAUUUACAGAGCCAAUGGUGUCUUUGCCUUACCUUUGUCAAUGUGCCUUUGUCAUGUGUUCAUGAGGCUUUUAACACAUCAGACCAAGGGCAGAGAGACGAAUUGCUUGUUCCCCAUAUUCAAGGUCGUCUGUGGUACAAGCAUAAUACGGGCAUGCCUGAUCCCAAUAAGGAACUUUUCACUGGGGGACUUGGAUGGGUUUGAAACCAGAAUAGUUCCUCUUCUACCACGUGCUGAAAAUAUGGGUAUCCUACCAAUAACUGGAAGGGCUAGGUUGCUCAAUUGAGGGGAGUGGGUUGAGGCUUCUCUGCUUGCAGUUGUGUUGGGAUUUAGCAAGCUGUCCAUCAUUGCUUUUCUGUACAACGCUCUGACAACAAUGGUUUUCUGUUCCAAAGAUAGUUACUUUUAAUCAUCGGAGGGGAUAUCUCCAAUUCUUGCCAGCCAGUAUGUUGUGGUCUCUCUGGGAAAUGCUCCCCAAGCAUGGUUAUUGUGAAUGCUAUUAGAUGUGGAAUUAUUUACUUCUGUCCAGCUCCCGAUCUUUGUACUGAUGUAGAGGUCUUGGUGUAUCUCCGUCGCCUCCUAGGACCUGAAUUCAUUGUGGGGUUCGCCUAUGGUUUUCCUUCACAGUUGGUUAAGCAUGAUGCAAUCUCAUCUGACUAGGAACAUGUAUUACUCUACUGUCUUGAGAUUUACUUGUACGCUUAUAUUUGAAAACAUCUCUAGGACCCAUGAUUAUGAUGAUGGAGCUAUUGGUAGAAGUUUGAUAUUUGUAUUUAACUCCUUUCAGAAUCCCUCUCUUUAAUUUGACGUUUGAACGAAGUUAUGAUGCUCUCUCUCUUGACUGUUCUUUCUUUCGUUGGAUAACAAGUGGGAGAAGCAGGUCAUCUUGCAGAUUAUGAAUCUGUUUAUGUGAAGAAGCUGGGAUCUUCUAUUUCCAUUAACCUCAGCUCCAGGUUGUUGUGCUGAUUUCGAAUCUGUCUGGAGCCAGGUCCAUUGAUCUGUGUUCCUUAGCUCCUUUAUUCAUCAUCUCUUCCAAUUUUCUGGCAUUGUUAUUAUAUAUGUAUAUUAUGUGGUGGCAGAGCCACGCUUAAUUGCAAGGAGGUAGUGUCAACGUUAGUGAACUGUCCACAAACUUUCUGCAAAUCCAUGUUGAUAAGAGGGGUGAGUUUUAGCGUGAUUCAUGUGUCCUUUGUACUAAGAUGGGCUAUGACACUUGUUCUGGAUCAUUUUACAAAUGUGACAUUUGUAUUCAUAUGUAAAAGGAGCUUCUGUGGCACAAGUAACAGUUUUUAGCAUGCGUUUUGUAAACAGAGUUGGGUCUUUCCGUCUAUAAUCUGGAUAUUAGUGCACUGGUUAUGCAACUAUCGUGCCAACCUCAGCACUGGUGAAAAAUUGCGGUGAGGAAGGCUACUUUCAGCAAUGUGGCAGCCAUUGAAUUUUGCUAGAGUGCAACUAUGGUGGAUAGGUUGGCUACAUAGAAUGCAAUUUUGUCUUGAUUAAAGAACUAUACCUUAUCCCAUCUGGAGUAGAAAACCUGCUGCUCUGCUGAAUGCUUUUGUUUCCUUUUGUCGUAGUUAAGUCAACAGAAACAUCUAGAAGAUAAGAGUUGUCUUCAUUGUGAUGUGGCCAGAGGAGAGCGGGACCAGACCACUUGUUGCUGCUCAAGUAGGGAUGGAUGUAGAGUUGUUGGAAUAUGUGUUGUCAAGGGAGCAAUUGAAACUAGAUGGUUGCCGUACUGUAAUUCUCAAUUCCUAUUGAUAAUCUGCUCCUUUUUAUC